CACAGCCCCCACUUUCUCCCCAGAGCUGAGGGACAGACAGAGAAUUGCGACUAGAAAUUCGAUCGAUUGGUACGAGGGACCACGUGGCCAGGGGCUGGCCAAUGACCAGGCCGCCCGGGAUGAGCUAAUAAUGGAAGCAAUUUGUAACUUUCAGUAGCUCUCUAGGCCUGGGUACCGGAGGGAGGGAGGCGGGCAGAGGAGGGGAGAUGGGCACCCCCAGUCUUUCCAUCCUCCUCAUUCGUCUAGGGGCACCCGAAUCCCCUAUUCCUUAUUUCCCCUAUCACUCAGGCACUGGCAGGGUCCUUUGCCCACUCCUGUUGGCCGCUGCGGCUCCAAAGCGAGCUGGGCAGAUGUGCCUGAGACAGGUUUGACCAGGCAACUGAAAAGACAUCCCUAAGAGAAGACAAAGCAAAGGUAUGAAAGGAACACACGUCCCUGACUGACUAGGAGGAACAGAGCUGCCUGCUAUCUGGAACAACUUCCUCCCAGACUAAGUGAGAAAUAAACUUCUGUUUUCUAUAUG
rnacentral:lncRNA from 1 species